rnacentral:rRNA from 1 species
UACGGGGGGGGGCAAGCGUUGUUCGGAAUUACUGGGCGUAAAGGCUCGUAGGCGGCCAACUAAGUCAGACGUGAAAUCCCUCGGCUUAACCGGGGAACUGCAUCUGAUACUGGAUGGCUUGAGUUCGGGAGAGGGAUGCGGAAUUCCAGGUGUAGCGGUGAAAUGCGUAGAUAUCUGGAGGAACAUCGGUGGCGAAGGCGGCAUCCUGGACCAUGACUGACGCUGAGUGAGCGAAAGCCAGGGGAGCAAACGGG